GCUUCAUGCUCAGUGAGAUUCAACCGUCUUCCAUCCUCACCGUUCUCUGCAUCAAACCUCCCAAUAUCCAAGCAAGUUGGUGAACCAGUGAUGCAGAACACAAGCUUGUACCCAAACUGGUAUUUCUCAAUAUGAAAUUUCCCACCAAAAGUUUGUUGCCCUGGAUGCCCUUCGGCCCCACCAACUCCCACACAUGCCUUCUGGAUUGUUUCGUCCACAAACACCAACCACUUGGAGGAUUCUGAACACUCUGGCUUCUCCACGAACUCGAUUUCCAGUUUGGUACCUACAGUUAUGUUUCCAAAAAUUCAAAUCAGUAAGUAAAAAAAAACAUUAUUACGACUUUAAUCCUAACGUUAGGAUGUGCUUUAAAUGGCUCUGAUACCAUAUUAAGAAGUGGACUUUAAGUCUCACUCAACCCCAUAAAACCUGCUCAUAGAAUUGAGGUUUGCAUCCAUUUAUAUAGAAUGAAAUGUCAAUCUCUAGUCGAUGUGGAAUCUCCAAGCGAUACCAUAUUACGAAUAUAUUACAAAGUAGACUUUAAACCUAACUAAAGUCAUUGAAAGUUUAAACCCACGAAUUCUCUUCAUUUAGAGUGGAUAUAAGAUCUCUGAAAUAGUUGUCAACAAAAAAUUCUUCCUACAACAACUUAGUGACUCAUAAUAGUGAGAGAAAAGUAAACUUUUAAGACAGUUUGAUAACUAAUUUCACUGUUCAUUAAUAAGUAAAUGAUAUAAAAGAUUUGAGGGGACUCGUGGUCUUGUUGCAUAUAAAUGCUGAAGUUCCCAUUUUUAUUUACUUUGAAGUCUGAAAUAAUUAAAUUGAUAAGGUAUUGAUGAGUACCAGUGAAGAUGAUUCCGGGGCUGACUCCAGGUAUGGUGAACUUCACGGGAAUGCCACGGAAGACUUCUAUGUAAUCUUGCAAGACAGUUAGAGCGCACUGUGAGUUCCCAGUUUGGCCAAGUUUCAGUCCACCACCAGGUGGGCCACGGAUUGCUGGUAAGAUGUAGUAUGUGAGACCUGGGAAAAUGGGGUUCCCAUUUACGUCCACAACUUGCUCAACAUCUGAGAAAGCUAAGGGAAGGUUGGUGAGGAAAGCAAGGAGAGGGAGGAGGAAGGAGAGGGCAAGAACUGCUGUGGCUUUCAUGGUUGAUUCAGAGGAAGAUGGUGCUGUUGCAGAUGUUCUGCUUCUGUUGUGGUGGACUGGUUUUGGUUCUUUAUAUAGAAACAGAGCACCACGUGCUUGUUCUUAAAAGAAGAUGACAGAGAAUUUUGAUGACAGAGAAAACAAAAACAAAAAAGAAAAAGUAAAAGAAAAAGAAAAUCUGAGAAUUGAAACAUGUUUCAGCAACAAUGUAAAACGAUGUUAAGAAUGGACAUAACAUCAAAGAUGUAUAGGAAGAUAAGAAAAACAUAGUAGUGAAACAGACUUACAUGACAUUUGUAACAUGUGACUAAAUUGUUUUAAUAUUUUCAAGAAAUUUUUUCUGGGAGGUAGUUUUUUCCCCUUAAUUUAGCAACUGAAUAUUAGUCUUUUAUUAAAAUAAUUAGAUUAAAAUUAAUAAAUUCUAGUGAUAAAAAUAUAUUUUUAAGAUAACUUGAUUUUUAAUGAGGAAAUAAUAAAUGAGUAAGCAUUUAUAGGUAGAGAAAUGUAAAGAAUUUGUAGCUCAGAUGGGUGCAUACAGUAUCAAUAAUGAUAAUAUACUUGUUAGAAAAAUAAUUGUGAAGCAAUCAUUGGUAGUUUCAUCUAUAAUCUCAAAUUUUGAAACAAGUUUUUUUUAUCAGAAAACCAAAUCUUUACUCACAAAAGCAAUACUUUUUGAAAAUCACUAUUUUCAAUAUUGGUUUUAACAGAAAAAAGAAAAAAAAAUAGAAUAAUCAAUUUUACUUAUUUAUAUGAUAUGAUGAUUUAAAUAUUUGUAAACUUCAUGGCAGAAUUAGAAUUGGAUAAGUUUACUUAUCAUCUCUAAUUAUACAUAUUAUCUCUUGAAGAUAAUUAUGAUCAAUUUUUUUAUACUUUUUAUUCUUUAAUGUUAUUCAAACCAAAUUAAUUUAAAUUCAUUUAUUAUAUAAAAAUAAAAAAUAAAAAAUCAAAGAGAAUAUAUAAAAUGUCUUAAGCCACGUGCUUAGUAGGUGAGAGAUUAUUUGAUCACGUGCAAGUACAGUAAUCGGAUAAGGAUGAAGUUGGAAUGAGUUAUUUUGGAAGUUUUUUUUUUUAAAAAUCGCAUUAUUAAAAGAAAAUUACCCAAAUAAUAUAUUACUCAUCAUAUUUAUCUAAAUAAUAAUAUGAUUUACGAUUGAUGUCAGGUUUCUCAAAAACCGAAGUCUAACUUAAUUUUUCAAUUUUUUUUAAAAUUAUGAAAAAAAUACAUAAUGAUAGUGUAAACUUUAUGACAUUAUCAUAUUUAAAAUUUAUUUUUUAAUAAUUUAAAUAAAUUAUUAAAUAUAAUUAAUAUUGAUAUCUUAUCACACAUGCAAUGCAAAGCAAGUAUAAUAGUUGGAUAAAAACAAACUUGCACCGAGUUAUUUUACUAAGCCAAUAAGGUAUGCAAAAUUGAAAUAUUUAUAUUGAGGUAUUUUUAUAACUUUAUUUAUAUUAAAUUAAGGACUCAUGUUUUAACUUGAUUGUUUAUAUUAAAAUAGAAAUAAAAAUGGAUUUAUUUGGUAAUUUUAAAUUAUAGAAACAUAUUCCAUAGAUAUUUGGUAGAAAGAACAAGAAAUUGACUUUGAAUUUUUAUUUUACAUCUUACACUCUUAGCAAUUCAAUGAAAUGCGUGUCACAAAAGAGAGCACACCCUUUUUUUAACAAUUAUAAAAGUUAUAAAAUAAUAAUAAUAGAGACAUUAGUGAUAAAUAAUUAAUGAGCUUUUGAUAAACACUUUUAUUUAUUUGUAGAUUAAAGUUCUCGAUCUUCACGAGGCACACAAUAUUAAAUUAUAAUAUUAAAGCACGUGCCGAGGAAUAUUUUAUGCUUCCCGUGGAACACGCACGACCUUCCUUCUAUAUUUUUAAAAGAGGGUUAAGAUAUUGUUUCUCUCUAAUAAAAUAUAUGUUAAACUAUAAUAUUAAAAUCCGGUAUUGAAAUGAUAAAUAUUUGAAAAUUAAAAAACCAGAAAAUCAUAAAUUAUUUAUCUGAAAUUUAAAAAGAUAAAUUAAUUAAAAUAUAAGUCUAAGAAUCCACCCCAAAAGAAACAAUAUGACCUCUCACCUUUCUGUUCACUACUUUGUCUUCUUUUUCACAAAUUUGGCAACCGCACCUUAUGCAAUUUGCAAUACCACCACUACAAAUUUCUUCUUUUCGUUAUUUUUCACUUGGCGCGUAUUUUGAAUUUUAAAAUGUCAAUCGCGAUGAGUUUCUAAGAAUAUAUAGGUUAUGAGAAAUAGAGACCCAUUCAUUUCUCAUUUUUUCUUUUCAUUUACUGAAGAAUAAGUGAUUCUUUUAUCAUUUUUUUUUUAUCCAUAUCAUACCUGUUCAGACGUGAUGCAGUUUAUAAGGUUUUUUUUUUAUUAUCAAAGUUGUUUGCUUUUAUCAUAUUUUUGGUGUCCCAAUAAUGCUUUUAAGAAAUAUUGAUCAAGCUAAUGGACUAUGUAAUGGUACAAGAUUUCAAGUUAAUGAGUUGGGGAAGAAUUUUAUCGAUUGUACAGUGAUUACAGGCAAAAACAUUGAUCAUAAAAUAUUCAUUCUUAGAACGAACUUGAUUCCUUCAGAUUUAGGACUGUCUUUCAAGUUUCAAAAAAGACAAUUAUCGAUAUCUUGUGCUUUGCAAUGACUAUAAAUAAAAACUAAGGUCAAACACUUUCCGAAGGUCUACUUUUUUUUCUUGGCCAAUGUUAUAAGCCAACAAUCUACAAAUAAUUUGUUUUUUAAUAAUUGUUUCUUAUUUGAAUUUGCAGGGUAAUAUAAUUGUUCUGAUCAUAUUUUUGCUUCUACUGCAAAAUUGUAAUAAAUAUAAUAUCUUAUCAAAAUCUUCUAUUCCUAUCUUUGCAUUUGGACAAAAUAAUACUUCUACUUUCUGUUUUUUUUUUCUCUAAGAUUUAAAACAUAUCUUUUAUAUAUUCCUCCUAUCAAAUUUACAUUUAAGUUAUGUGUAGCGGUGAUUGAAAUAUAUUGACAUUAUAACCCAAUAUUAUUCAACAACAAUUAGAGGUUAGUAUCAAAUAUUCAACAUCACUAUACCAUUUCUUACAUAUAGUAACAUAUUAUUUUCUCACAACACUCGUGCAUUAUUUUGUUUCUAUAUUUUGCUUUGUUUUCUUUUCUUCUGUUUUCACUUUCUCAUGUUUCAUAUACUGUGCAAUGCCACCAAGUGUUUGAUAAAUGCUUGAAUGAUGGUGACUGGUUCUUUCUCUAUUUGUUUAGGUUAUAUAUGGUUUUAUGAAUUGAUUACUAGACACUCAUUUAUUAAUUAAUAUAUGCGUAGCAUGCUUGUUGGUUGGGGUGUGACUGUGAGAGGGAAGGUGAGUGUGGGUUAUGACUUACCUUUCCGUUUCCUUGACAUAAUUGGGAGGUUACUUGCCACAAUUAAUUGUCAUCAAAUGGAAGUUUCUUACUACAACUAAUUGUCACCAAAGGGAGGUUAAUUACCAUUAAUUGUAUUUAUUAUUGUUGUCUCCUAGAACCACUAUAUAUAGUGGUUUCCUUCCAGCAAUAUAACAAACAACAACACAUACUUGCUUCCUCUUUAUUUUCCUAUACUCUCUAUUUCUGCUCUUGGGUGUAAGUGUUUAACCCAUAUAGAGAGAAUUUGUUUUGGGGCUAUUUAUCUAUUAGCCUGAGAGGGAUUCAUGGUACUCCCAGUACCAUUAUAGUGGAAGUUUUGGCUCUUUCGCCGAUGGUUUUUUAUCUUUAUUUAAAGGGGUUUUCCACCUAAAAAAUUUUGGUAUCAUUCUCAUUUUCUUUGUUACUCUAAUUUCUCAUAAUUUGGUUGAAAUUAUUACGCUUCUGCACAUGAUAUCCCUACAGUGAGAGAGAAUGCAGAAGGAUGGAAUAGUGUUGCGACGCUUUUGAAUAUCUUGAAGCUUUUUUAAUGGUUAAAGGUUUUAUUAACAUGAUUUUCUACUAAGAUUUACUAUUUUGGUUAAAUGUUUUAUUCAUUUUUUAAUGACAAUUUCAAUUUCAAUAAAAGCAUAGAUUGGAAAAACAACUCAUCAGGACUAUAAGGUACUGCCUCAAGCAGAGGAUUCCAGUGUGAAAUCGACUUGUAAUGGUGAAGAGGUAAAUCUUCAAGAGACUUUUGAAAAAUCUCAGCAAAUUACAAGUUAACGUAAUCAUAUAUUGCUUGGUAUCACGAUGCAACUUUAUGUAACUUUUUCUGUCCAAUCAAUUAUUAAGAUGGAAGAAGAUGAAGAUGUAGAGGUUAAACAAAAGGAAUGUGAUGAUGCAAAGUACAAUGUCGAUGAAGAACCAAUCAACCAACAUUUUAAGCAGCUAGAGUUAUUUCAGCUGCAAAACGAGAACGUCCAAGUAACUUGUGUCAGAAUAAUAUUAAAUAAUCAUACUUACAACAUGUAUAAUUCUAAUACAGUACCAUAUAAACAUGCAAUUAGAGCUAGAUUGAAUGGUUUGACACAAGAGUUUUCCUAGGAUUGCUUUCGUAAUGCACUAUGCAUAAGAUAAAGUAACCAAUUUGAUGUUGACAAUCCUUAGGAAUUGAAAAUGAUGGUUCAUCAAACAAAAAUAGGAAUGCAGGUUCUGCAACAUAAUUCACCUACGCAUUUUACCUAUGACCAAUCACUGACCAAUUAAAAGGUUGUCUCCAUUUUAAAAUUACUAUGUAAAAGCCUAAGGGGGCUCAAUGAUUCAUUCCCACAAGUAUGAACAUUUCAAUUCUGUUUUUUAUUUUACCUAAUCUCAAUUUUGUGCACAAUAUCUUGUAGUUUCUUGAUUCUUUCUUUCUGAAGGAUAUUUUUAUCCAUUAUUAAAAACCAAUUUCUUUUGAGACCUUUAUAUUAUUAUAAGAAAAUUUGGUCUCAUAUAAAAAAUUGUGUUUAGAUAAAUCUAAAAUCAAACUCUAGUUUUUAUUUUUCAAGAGUAUUUAUUUGAUCUUUAGUCUGGAACCAAAUUUUUUUCACAUGCAACUAGGUGGGGUAGGUACUUAAUUGAAGGACAAUAAUGUUAAUUAAACCAUGGCCUUAACAUGGAAUGUGAAAGAAGGUCCAAGACGACUCAAAUGUUCACUCACCUUCAAACCUCGGUCCUUGGUCUCUUACCUCAGGUUCAUCAAUCAUCAUCCAACAUUUCAUGUUUUCUCAAUAAUUAAUGCUACACAUUAUUUUCAUGGUUUUUUUUAGAGUUUUGGUUACAUGAGUUUUAUGCAUUAUGUCCACAUUGUGUUGAAGAUGAAGAUGAAAGCUUUCAUGUAUCAAAUUCACAUGAAGCCGGAAGCUGUGUGCUUUCUGGGUUCUGGGUUUGGGUUUAGAUUAAGUUGUUUAGAAUCUUUGUUAAGAUUAGUCCUUGAAGCCUACACAAAGCUUGAUUAAAUCUAUUUUAAGAAACUAAGUGUUGUUCCAAGUAAAGGGAAAACAACCGAUUGAUUUGUCGAAAUAAUCGGUUGUUUGUCAAUUAGCUCACUGGAAGUUUUGAAACUGCUUGACUCAUUCAACCGGUUAAAUCGUGGUCUCACCCGGUUAAAUAUGUGUUUUCAUAACAGUUUUUUGAAAACUUGUUUUAACUGAUUCAGUUGUUCAAAUCUGCCUUAAGCAAUUGCUUUUCAAAGGCUAUAAAUAAAGGCUUUCAUUAAAAUCAAAAGAUACAACAAAUACAACAAGUAUUGAUUCAGAUUUUAGAAAGAGAUUUGGUGUUUGAAAGUGCUUACAAAAAGUGCAAGAGUGCUUUCAAGCUUUGAUGUGGUGACAAGUGUUGAUCAUAGGAUCUCUGGUUCUGUAAUUCCAGGUGUUUUCUAUCCUUGCUUAGUGUAUUGUAAUUGUACUUCUUUUACAUACUUUUGUGUUUGAAAUUCUAUAAAGACAAAGGUUGUUCUGUCUUGAGGUGUGAAGUUUUGCAAAGAGGGUGAGUAGGCUUUGUGGGAUUCAAAGUCACCUCUUUGUGGUGUGUGAUUGUAAUCUGUGUUGAUUACUAGUGGAAACUUAGAGGUUUGUCUGAGAACUGGAUGUAGCUCAGGGAUUGAGUGAACCAGUAGAAACCUUGUGUGUAAAUCUCUCUUUCUCUCAAACUGUUUGAUAUUUUGCUGCUAUAAACAACCGAUUAAAACACAAUUUUAACCGGUUAAAAUUCUGAUAUCUAUUUCUUUUGGAUUGUUUGGUUGCCUUCCUUAAGUGCUUAUCUGAGUUGUUUGUUAAAUAUUCAUUCUAGACCAAGUAUUUGCGAAAAUCUUUGAUAAACAAUUCACCCCUCCUCUUGUUUAAGCCAUCAAUUCUUACACAUUGGAGGAGUUGAAGAAGACUAUGAAAGGAGUAGAAGGGUCCAUGAUUGAAUGUGGUAACAACAAUAGAAAUUGUUCAAUCAUGGUUACUAUUUCUGCUAAUGUUGCAUUCUUUGGUAUUCAAUGGGUGCCUCAACCAGGUUUGGUGACGCAAAUUUUAAAGGUGUUUUGCAAUCACAAAGCAUAGAUUUUGGCUACAAAUGUAGAAAUUGAUAUUGGCAAUCACAGUUUUGGUGCAAAAUAAUGGAAAGUGUGUGGUUGAAAAUAUUAAAAGAGAAAUUAUGAGUUUGUAGGAUCAAAACUCUUGCGAUAGAUUAUAUGGUGUUUGAUUUUGGUACCAUGUCACAGAAGAAGCUAACUUGAUAUAGAUCAUGAUUAGACAUUAGAAACUAAACUCUAACCUGUAUCAAUUUCAAAAAACCUGCAUCUCACUUGUCACUUAUAUGGUUUAAUUAGAUCGUAUUCAUAUAAUUAUAAAAGAAUUUAGUAUGAGAUUUGGAUGAAGAGAAAGGAAGGAAGAAAGUAGAAACUAGAGCUGAAAACUUUUACUGAGAUACAAUAUGAAUAGGUUAGGCCAAUUGCAUAAUUGGUGUAUUAAUUGGUUUUAUUUGUCUUACGCUAAUCUUUUUUUCUUUUAUGUGAUGGGCAACGAAGAAUACUGAUGGAAGAGAGUCAUCUCGUGCAGAAAUGUGCAUCAUGAUAAGCCUAAGAGUGAAACAAAUUAUUGUAUGUAAUCUCUAUCUUUAUCUUCCUCACCCUCAAUAGUUAUUCCUCAAAUAUUAAAUUUUGAAUAUUUGGUGCUUAACUGCUAUAUUUAUAUAAUGUAAAUUAAUUUAAUAUUUAAUAACGUCUACUACUAAAACUUUAGACAAACUUCUGUAAAUGGUACAGAUUGAAGACAUGUAUGAAUACUUCUUAACAUUUGUGAACUGUAACAAAUGUAUAUAUUUUUGGUGGAACUGAAGAUUAUAAUUAUAUCAUUAUGGAGUGUUGGUUGUUUGAUGCUGCAAAAUCUGUAUUAAAUUUGAUGUGGUAGAAAUAAUGUAGAAUGACUUGUUUGACAUAAAUAACAGUUGGGGCCAUCAAAGCCUCUUCAAUUGUAAUAUUGCUACUAGGAAGUUGAUCUUUCAAUGAAAGACCAUUCUUUUUUUGUGUGUGGAAAAUUGGGAGUAUGUGUUGGCCUUCUAUCUUUGUAAAUGUGCUCUUCACUGUUGUGAGGUUUUUACAACACACCCUUAAUGGAACAAAAAAUCCAUCUAUAAGUAACACAUUAAUGUCUCAUGCAUGAAUUAUUAUGUCCUUCAGAUACAAAUUUAUAGGGGCUACAAUUAUCUCAUUGCUUUAACCACAAAAUUUUCAUUUCAUCCAUCAGAAUGCAAACCACACUUACCUUGGACAACUUCAUACCAUAGAGUUAGUCUGUAGAGAAAAAUGCUAAAGUCACUUAGCUGCUAAAACAAUAUUUUAAUCUAGCAAAUCUCCCAACUAACAAGGUGACCUCUACUUAAUCCAUUUGAAAACAAUAUAUCUUAAGUUUUUAUAGUAAACAAUUGGUGCACGUAUGAUAGAAUUUUAACUAUUGCAAUCAUUUUAAAAACCAUAUCUAUCAAUUUUUUUGAGAUUUUUUUCAAAUUAAACUCAAAUUUUAAAAGGCAUAUAUAUGAGUAUAUGGGUAAAUCAUAGUUAAUAUCUGUGGUUGAUGAAAUUUUAUAAAUAUUUUUUCUAUUCUUAUUUAUGGCUAUCAAAUAUUAGAGGUGACAAAGUGAGGCGGACUGUGCGAAUUGGCCUGUGGCCCCCUGAAAAAAAUGUGGGCGGGUUGCUUAUUUCAACUCGCUGACUCACUUAGGUCCGCCCUACAUAACUCGCAGUCCGCACGGGCCAAGUGGGAGCGGGUGCGGGUUGACCCGCAUAACUUUAAAAUGUAGAAUUUUUUUUCUGCAUCGCCAUAUUUUCUUCAUGUAGCCUCAUAUUUCACAUUCCAAAAUUUUUAAUAACAUCUUACUAUGCAUGUCUCGUGAAAAUAAUAUUAUUAGACCAUUUACCUAAUUCAUCUAAAUAAAUAAAAAAUUAUUUAAAAAAAUAUUUCUUAUGCGGACUAGCUCGUAGGCCAACCCUUAUACGAAACAAACUAGAAAUCUUUGAAUGCAUGUUUUCAUCUGCUGAGCUCAAUGAAUUUCAAGAAAUAUCUGAAAAAUAUUGGGUUGAAAAGAGAAGACUACUAUUUUUUAAAACAUGUUUGGAAGGGUUUGUUGUCUUGCCUUGCUUGGGGUUUUAUGGCUCUAUCCUGAGAAUUCAGCACUGAGCGGGGGAAACUGAAGUCAAGGCUGAAGGAGCAUGAAGAAGCAUUGAAGGAUUUCAUUGGUAAGGGAAGGAUGAGAAAGCUCAGAAGCUGUGGUUGAGGCUGAAGAAUGAGGUUGCAACUGAACUAAAGGAGAGACGUUUUGAUGUUGAAUAAGUGUAUGCUUUAUAGUGAAUGGUUGUCAAUGUCAUUUCCAUGAUACAUGAACAGAUUGUGAGACUCUAGAUGUAGUAGACACUAAAAAUCUUAUGUAUGCUAGAUGAUAAAUAAAAGUGACAAUUUAUUGACAAGACAUGUCUAAAUUCACUUUCAAACAUUGAAAAUCCAUAGUGUUGUGUUGAUAGAUUUUUAUUACUAGUUUGCUUAUAGAAUAAAAACAUCAAAACAUAAAUUAUUAAAUUCAUGUUACAAUCCAAACCUAAGUAAUCUAUAUAAUUUUGUAAUCAAACAAUUUACUAAAUUUUUUAGUAACAUUUUUAUAAUGUUACUUUUUUUUUAUUAAAAAAUAUUAGUAACAUUUUUUAAAUGUGACUUCUUAAAUUUAGAGUGUAGGGAUUAGUAACAUUUUUAUAAUGUUACUCUCUUUCCAAAAAAAUAUUACUAAAAAAAAUUAAUAACAUUUUUAAAAUGUUAUUUAUUUAUUAAAAAAAGUUACUAACCUUUUCAUAAUAUUAAUUUUUUUUAUUAAAAAGUAUUACUAAAAAGAUUGAAUAACAUUUUUAAAAUGACAUAUUUUAUUAAAAAAAUUACUAAAAAUAAUUAGUAACAUUUUUAUAAUGUCACUUUAAUAUUAAAAAAAGUUAAUAAAGAUUUAUAGUAACAUUUUUAUAAUAUUUUUUUUUUUAAAAUUACUCAAACAAUUUAGUAACAUUUUAAAAAUGUUAUUUUUUUAUUAAAUAAAUAUUACUAAAAAUAUUUAAUGACAUUUUUAUAAAUGUAUUUAUUCAAAUAUAAAAGUAUUACUAAAAGUAUUUAGUUAUAUAAAAUAUUUGUUACAUUGAAUAAAAUUACUAAAUCAUAUUAGUAAUUUUUUUAUAUUUAAUAACAUUUUCUUUAUUUAAUAACAUUUUUUUAAUGUUACUAAUUAUCAUAUCUAGUAUUACCAUAACUUUACAAAAAGAAAUCAAUUUAAUCCUUUAUCAUAUUAAAUAGAUUCUCUACCAAAAAUGUUUUCCUGCCGAUUUAUAAUUAAUUUUGUUAAUAAUAUAAAAUAGUAAUAGUUAAAAACGGAUAGAAAAAAAGUUCUUAUAUUUUUCUCUAGACAUAAUUACAUUUUUAAUCAUCAUUAUAAUUAGAAAGAUAAGAAAAACCUCCUCUAUUCAAACAACCUUUUCUUUUUUUUUCUUAACCUCCAAAAUCUAUAUAUAUAUAUAUAUAUAUAUAUAUAUAUACACACUCAUUUUUAACAUUUUUUUUAAAUCGUUUGGUCAUAUUGUGUUUAUAAAAUCAAUCUUGAAAGGUUUAUAAAGUUAAAAAUGUGUAAUUAAGUUUUGAGUUCCAUUUAAAUUCAAGAACUACCAAAAAGAAAUCCAGGUAUUAUUAAUUUAAAUUUAAAGAUGUCAUAUUAAGGAAACUUCAUAGUCUUUGUUUACUUCGACUAUUUCAACUCCAAGAAAUUGGAUAUUUCAAAAUUCUCUAGAUUCAAACUACGGACUUAAUAACCUUAUCAGCUUCAAAAACCUUUACGAACACUAAAUCGAAGGCUUCAUGCUCAGUGAGAUUCAACCGUCUUCCAUCCUCACCGUUCUCUGCAUCAAACCUCCCAAUAUCCAAACAAGUUGGUGAACCAGUGAUGCAGAACACAAGCUUGUACCCAAAAUGGUAGUUCUCAAUAUGAAAUCUAGUCGAUAUGGGAUCUCCAACCCACCCCGCGUGCAAGGGACAACAUGUUAUGGGUGGGGUUUUUUCUUCCUGCACCCCCACGUUUUUCUUUCUGCACCCCACAAUUCUAAAUAUUCCUAAAGUACCCUUGAUCUAUAAUUUGAAAAGGGCACUCUCCUGGACUUGCAUUGUAGCAGUUCAUCUUCAUCACUGAAAUAUCAACUCCUGGACCUAUACUGGGAUUUUACCACACCGCAGGUUUAGCAUUCAGUUCUUAUAGAUAAAACAUUGCAGUUAUACAUCUUUCCCAUUUUACUUAUGAUGUAUUUCUUAUUCAUCUAUGUAAUUUAACUAUUUUUCAAAUGCAGAUUCUGACAAUGGAGUAUGUUCCGGGGAUUAAAAUAAAUAAAACACAAGCUUUAAAUGAACUUGGUAUUGAUCGCAAAAGGUUAAUCUCAUAUGAAUUUCUUCAAGCCAAGUUACUAUUGACAUUUUCCCUUCUACUUCUGUGAAUUUUAGGAAUUGAUGAUGGCUUUUGAAAUUCAAAAAUAACAUAAUGUAUACUUUAUCUUCUACAGGUUAGGGCGAUAUGCAGGGGAUUCUUAUUUGGAGCAGAUUUUUAUCACAUGGUUUCUUCCAUGCUGACUCUUCUUGUUCUUAGAAUUGUUGAGUUGUCUCAUGACUUAUCUUGUUUGAAUAAGGGAGAAGAGAUUGGCUGGAAAUACUUAUCUCCCAUGUUGGAUUCCAAGUACACACUUUGCAUGCUAUAUACUUAACUUUUGAUUUAAUCAUAUCAUAUUGCAUAAAAUAAGAGAACAAGUAAGAACUUGCACAAUAGAAGGGUGGCAAAGAAGCUUUGCAUAAAAUAUUGUUACAUUCCCUUUUCAGCUCAAAUAGAAACUGAUUUGAUCUUUGGCUGUUUUUUGUACUGCACUUAGCAUUGGAAAACAUUAUGAUAAUUGUGAAGUUUGAAAAAGAUUUAUAAACAGGGAGUUCUAAUAAUUUGUUUUGCCAGUUAACAUCAAAUGUUCAUAUUAUUUCAACUAAUUUAUAUGGAUUUGACGAGUAGGGGAUUCAAAAAUUUAGAACUUUCCCAGAUCCAAAAAUUUGGAACUUUCCCAGAUUCAAAAAUUCGGAACCUUCCCAGAACUAUAAAUCCAGGAUUUUACCGCAAGCAUAAACUCGAGAUUCUACCGGAUUCUAUGAUCUAGAAUGCAAGAAAACACUUACAGAAACAAAAAUCCAUAAAAAAAUCGGAUGUGCAGAUCCGAAAGCAAAGAAAUUAACUUAUCUUGAUUAAAAACACUCUAUAUCAGCAACAAAAAAUUCUGAGAUUGUAAGGAUAGCGAUUUGUAGGUGCGACUGCUGCUAGAAAAUGAAACCCACGGCUGUGCACUGAGAGAAUCAUUGCCUGUGCCUCUUUAGGGUUUUUUUAGGUGAAGGGUAUUUUUAGAAUUUUAAAAACUAUUAAGGACGAUUUAGUCUUUGCAUAAGAGUGUGGGGGUGCAGGAAGCAAUUGUCUAUGGGUGGUCCAAUAACGGCCCGAUAGCGGGUGGCAUGAUAGGUCCAACAAACGUUUGUUAUGAUAGACUUUAAAUGACUCUGAUAUCAUAUUACGAAGUGAACUUUAAACCUAACUCAACCCCAUAAAACCGGCUCAUGAAGUGGAAUUUGCACCCACUUAUAUAAAAUGAAAUGAUAUAAUAUCUAGUUGAUGUAGGAUCUUUAACAUACUCCCACACGCAUUUGUUCUGGAUUUCUUCGUCCUCACUCAUGUUUCAGACAUACAUAAGACACUGACAAUAAGACACUGACACUAAAACACCUAUAAUUUUUAAAAUUUAAACAUAAAAUAUAAAUUUAUAUAUUAUAUUAUUAUGAAUUAUAUAAAUUUCCUAGUACAAAAUUUAUAUCAACAAGUAUACGCUAAGAUUUUUUUUUAUGAUUGAUUAAAAGAAAUUUUUUUCUGACACAGACUGCAUGAAAAGAAAAACGUAUCCGAGCUUCGUAUUAGUAAUAGAACAACAUAGUUUUGAAGAAAAUUUCUGACUACAAUUUAGAGACUCCGAAAUAGUGAGAGAAAAGUAAACUUUUAAGACAGUUUGAUAACUAAUUUCACUGUUGAUUAACUAAACAAUAUAAAAGAUUUGAUUGAACCCAAAAAUGGACUCGUAGUUUUGUUGCAUGUAUAAGCUUAAGUUUCCAUUUUUAUAUACUUUGAAGUCUGAAAUAAUUAAGUUGAUAAAGUAAUGAUGAGUACCAGUGAAGAUGAUUCCAGGGCUGACUCCAGGUAUGGUGAAUGCCACGGAAGAGAUUUGAGUAAUCUUGCAACACAGUUAGAGCACACUUUGAGUUCCCAGUUUGGGCAAGUUUCAAUCCACCACCACUUGGGCCAAAGAUUGCUGGAAAGAUGUAGUAUGUGAAACCUCUGAAAAUGGGGUUCCCAUUUGUGUCCACAAUUGGCUGAACAUUUGAGAAAGCUAAGGGAAGGUUGGUGAGGAAAGCGAGGAGAAGGAGGAGGAAGAAGAGGGCAAGAACUGCUGUGGGUUUCAUGGUUGAUUUAGUGGAUGAUGGUGCUGUUGCAGAUGUUCUGCUUCUGUUUUGGUUUUGGUUCUUUAUAUAGAUACAAAGAUGCUGCUAUAGCACCAAGUGUUUGUGUUGGAAUGAGUUAUUUUGAUAGUUUUUUCUUAAAUAGCAUUAUUAAAAGAAAAUUAUCUAAAUAGUAUAUUACUCAUCAUAUUUAUCUAAAUAAUAAUAUGAUUUACUAUUGAUGUCAGGUUUCUCAAAAAAAUUGAAGUCUAACUUAAUUUUUUCAAUUUUUAAAAAAAAAAUUAUGAAAACAUUAAAAUUGUAAUGAUAAUAUAAUUAAAUUUUAUGACAUUAUUAUAUUUAAAAUUUAUUUUUUAAUAAUUUAAAUAAUUUAUUAAAUAUAAUUAAUAUUGAUCUCUUGUUUAAAAAUAUGAUUUUUUAUCAGUAAGAAAUAAUAAAUAAAUAUGGAUCACUUCAGAAGUGAUCCAACCCUUAUACAAAAAUAAAAAGAAAAAUAAGAUAAACCCUUAUGUCCUAACCUAAACCAAUUUUUCAACAAAAGCUAUCGACUAAUUCAAAACUCAAGUAUAUCACUUACACAGGAACCCAUCCUUGACAAUCGUUAGAGUAUACCAACACAUCAAAAUUUAAAAAAAAAAACAUAAAACAAAAACAAACUGUGAAACAUAAAUUUCCAAUAAUUAGAGGAACUUAAAAGACCUCUCUUUACAACUAACACAACAAUGGUGUACCCCCACUACUUAAAAAAAACAAAGAUAAUCCUUUUCACAUCACAAAAGCUCCUCCUUAUUGUCACUUAAUUCAAAGACCAAGACAGAACCUCUAAACGAAGUUUAAGACCAAUCUGCAAAGCACUCAACUUCCUUCUUCUUAAAAAGAAGUUAGAGAGAUAACGCAAGGAAAAAUAAACAAAUUUAAUUCACAGUUCUCAUACAUACCAAAUGUUCUAAACACCAAUCAAAAUAAGAGAAUUCUACCUUUUUCUUUACUGUUAACAAAGCCUGGUUUUUUCUUUGAGCCACAGUAAACACCUCUAUAUGGUCAACUCUCCCAUUAUUAAAAACACACCUAUUCUGAUGAUUCCAAAUUUCACCUAUAAUUUCAAUCCUCACCACUCUCCAAAUUAUGACAAUUUGGCCAUUAACAUUUAGAGGGCUGAACAAGAUGAAGUGUACCUUUGCAUCAUAGUGGUUUACCGAUAAACAACUCAAUCAAGACAAGCACAAACCCCAAAUUUUCUACCCAAUUUUACACUUAAAAAAAUAAAUGACAAAGAAUCUCCUCUUUCUCACCACACAACCCACACAAGCAACUUACCUUUGAGACUCCUUUUCUCAUAAGAUUAUCCUUUGUUGUUAUGCUAUUAUUCAACACCUUCCAAGCAGUGAUUUGUGCAGAGGGAAGAACUUUACCUUCCAGAACUUUUCAAAUUGAGCCCUAUCUUCACCUUCCACCACUACUGCAAGUAUACUAAUUAGAUAAAAACAAAGUUGACUGAGUUAUUUUGAUAUAAUAACUACACGAAGAGAGUAUACAAAAUUGAAAUUUUUAUAUUGAGGUAUUUUUAUGAUUUUAUUUAUUUUAAAGUUAAAUAUAUUUUUUAUGCAUAAUUAAUUUUUUACUUUUGUUCGAACUUUAGACCAUUCAGAUAUUUAUAGUAUGAAAAUAAUACGAAUAGGUUUUAUAUGUAAAAUAAUUGUUAUUUUUUUCAAAAAUAUUGUUAGUUUUUUUUCGAAAUUCGAUGUUGUUUUGAUUGAAGAUUAAUAUUUAAUAUAAUUAUUUUAAAUAAAUUGAUAAAGUAGAAAUUUAAAUUGAAUCAGUUUUAUAUAAAGAAAUUACGUAUUUCAAUCAGUUUUAUACUAUAAACAUAUUUGUAGUCUAAAGUUUAGACUAAAUAAAAAAUCAAUUUGGUAGGUACACAAUCUUAAAUUAUAAUAUUAAAGCUCGUGCCGAGGAAUAUUUUAUGUUUCCCGUGUAACAGGACCUUCUAUAUAUUUAAAAUAGGGUCAAGAUAUUGUUUCUCUCUAAUAAAAUAUUAUGUUAAACUGCAUAAUAAAAUCCCAUAUUAAAAUGAUAAAAAUAUUUGAAAAUUAAAAAACCAGAAAGUCAUAAAUUAUUUAUCUGAAAUUUAAAAAGACAAAUUAAUUAAAAUAUAACUCUAAUAUCUAAUAUUCAACAUUAUCGUAACUUCACAAAAAUAAAUCAAUUUAAUCCUUUAUCAUAUAAAUUAGAUUUUCUACCAAAAUGUUUUCCUACCGAUUUAUUAUUAAUUUUGUUAAUAAUUUCAAAUGUUAAUAAUUAAAAACAUAUAGAAAAAAAAUUCUGAAUAUUAUAACAUGAAAUCAUUCAUGUAGAGGGAGGCAUCUAUUUCGUUUGUUGGGCUUGGUCCCUUAUUUUUUUUCCUAGUUGGUUAGGUUAUUUGUUUUUGCACCUCGAAAUUUUCAUACGCACUCCUAAAAAAUUUUAUAUUCCAAAUUUACCCUUUUGGUAAUAUAUAUAUAUAUAUAUAUAUAUAUAUAUAUAUAUAUUAGUGGAGGGCAUUUUUUGUUUUGGUAUUUUCUUGUUAUGACUUCUUUGAUGUUUUCACAUACUUCAUGGUUGUGGUAUACUUGGUGGUGUUAUUGGGAAGUGUAGAGUGCAUUGAGUUACUAGGGAAGUGAAGAUAAUAUUGAGAGGGAAUGUAAGUUUCUCUUUUGUUUUGCUGAUUUUUUUUCUCUCUAGUUAAUGAUUUUGAAUUUAACUUCUCAAUCCGAAGAUUUCUUGAAUUACAUCUGGAGAAUAUAUUUAUAUAUAUAUAUAUAUAUAUUUAUUGUCCAAUUCGAAAGUGAAAAUAUUUUUUUGGAUUGUAUAAUUUAAGAGUCAAAUUUUGUUUAUGUAUUGCACAAUCUGAAUACUAUAUUGAAUUAUGGAUUGUGUAAUUUAUAAGUUAAAUUUGGCUUCACAAUUGCACAAUCCAGAAUAAAAAUUUAAUCUUUGAGUUAUACGUUUUGCAAUACAAUCUAGAAGAACAAAUAUAUUAUAGAUUUUAUAAUCUGAAAUAUAAAUUUUACUUUUUGAUUACACAAUAUAGAAGUCUCAGUUGUUCAAUUUCUUAAAGUUUUUGUAUGUCCAUACUUAUGUUGUGUAAUAUAAGCACAUUAUUACAUUGUUUUGUGAGUACUCUUACGAUUACUUUUAUGGUGAGUGUUAAAAUGUCAGAUAAAGUGGAUAAGUUGUUUCACAUGGAUAAGCUUGACAAUUUGUUGUAAUAGAAGAUGCAUUGGUUAGAGGAGAUUGCAUUCAACCUUUUACAAUAAAUGAGUAAGUAAAAUUUUAUAUCAUUUGUGUAAAUAUGAUACAUGACAUAUGCUUAUGUUGUAAUAUAUUUGGUAUGUGAAAUGACUUAUUUGAAUUGGUGUGUAAAGUACCAUUUCGACUUGGUUUUGUAAUUAUCAUUUUGCAGUAUGAAAUAUCAAAUGGAAAAUUAAGAAAAAAAAUACAUGUGUGUUGUUAGUGAAAGAGGUGGAAGUAUAGGAGAUACAAAAACAAUUUACUAGUCAUUGUACCUAGUAUAAGAAAAUAUGAUUGUUCUUUUAAAUUGCAAGGUAAACAAAUUUGCAAUGGAGGAGGGCAGGUUUUGAAGACAAUAUGUGGGAGUCAUAAUCAUGAAUUGGUUGAUUCAUGAACUGGUUGGUUUGUUCAAAUUCUUAUGUAUCGAGUUGACAUUUAAAUAUAAUAUUAUGUUCUUGAUUGGUAAUUGGUAUUGUCAUUUUAUUUGUAAUGCUAGUUUAUCAUGAUUUUGAUUCUUAAAUUUGACUGAAAAGUACCUCUAAGUUUCUGACCUAAAUGAUAAUACUUAACAUAUUUGAAUGCUAGAAAGAAAUUUAAAAUGUUAAUUGCUAUCAACAUCUAAUCGUAAGAAUAAGGAGUUUUUAUAAAUAGGCGAAUAAUCGAUAUUUAGGAGACUAUUUUAAUAAUUUUAUAUGCGAGAAAACGAUAUGAAUGAAUUUUAUAUGGACAUCAAUAUCAAUCAAAUGAUAGAAUAUUAUUAUGCUUUUCAAAAUACAAAAGAGUGAGAAGGAUGAACCCCAAUGCCAAUUUUCCCAAUUGAAUAAACAACUUUUUACUUUGCUUUAUUUACAAUUCUUGCAAUCAUACACAACAAACAUCCUACAAACUUUUACUUAUUGUUUUCUAUUUAGUGAAUCUUAUACUUGAUAAUUCAAGUGUUCCUUAUGUGUUCGAUAUCUGUCCUUAGGGACAAAUUAUUACUCCUAACACGAUACACUUGCCGUAAAAUAAUCAUCACACUUUAAAUUUUAGUUUGUAUUAAAGAUUGCAAGGGUUUGUCUCUAAAUAUGUUUUGAUGAACAUUGUUGAAGAGUUUGAUCAUGUUAGACGUGUUGGUAUUGAUAGUGAAUGUCAUUGAGAUGUACUCAUGGUUUACCUUAUGCAUACGAAUUAGUGAAAUAUGACAUCGGUAGCAUACUAUUGAAUAUAGUGCAUGUUAUGUGGAUCAGAUUUAACUUUUUUUAUAGGUCAUCAUGCGAUUCAUCGUCCAGGUUAUCUAAUCAGUAGAAAUUGGACAUUUUUUAUAAUUGUUUUAAGGAAGUUGAAAUUGCAGGUGAAGUGACAAUUAAAGCAUUCCCAAAUCCAUAAUUGCAUUCUGGAUUUCACAAUUGAGAUUGUAUUUAAAUUUUGACAAAUACAUUCCAAAUUAUACAAUCUAGAACAUAAUUUUAGAUCAAAAAAUGACUUUCAAACUGUACAAUCCAAAAUUUUGGAUUAUGCAAUUAAAAAAUUCUCAAAAGAGACAUUCUGGAAUGAAAUUAAAUAACAACACUGAAUUGUAGUUUUAAAGAACUAACCUGAUAACACUAGCGCAACAAUGGGUGGCCAAGGUAGUUAUUGACAAUGAAUUUGGAACACUACAAGCGAAGAAAGUAGACAUGACCAUGACACCAUUAGUCGUCUAUGAGGGGAGAAGAAGCAGAGAAGAAGAGAAAAAGAAAAGGUAAAAAUAUAUGUCAUUAAGGACAUUUUGGUCUUUUUAGCAUCUUAUCGGGGUGUACUUGAAAAUUAUAGGAAGGCAAAAGGUAAUGUGGCCUAUGGUUAGUCUUUUAUUUUAGGUAAUGGAUAAUGAAGUUUUUGUUUUGACUACUUUUUCAUGCACCUCCAUACCUUCUUGAGUCACCCCAUACCAAAUGUAAAAAUAUUUUUUUAUCCUUUUGUGCCACCCCCAUACAUAAUCUGGAAGAUGUUUUUGAAUCUGGAAGUUUUGUUUAGAUUUAUGAAAUUCAGAAGUUUUUUAUGGAUUUGAGAUAAUCUUAUGUAUUAUGUAAUCCGAAAGCUAAUCACACAUUUGAAAAAAUACUUCUGGAUUACACAAUCCAGAAGCUAAUCUCAAUCCAAAAAAGACUUUCAGAUUAUAUAAUCCAGAAGCUAAUCAAGCAUUUGAAAAAAAAGCUUUCAAAUUACAUAAUCUGGAAGCUAAUUACAAAAGAUUUUUGGAUUACAUAAUCUGAAAUAUUAAAGCAGGAUAUUUUUGAAAUACAAAAAAUAUAUGGGGUGACACAAGAAAGUAUGGAGGUGCACGAAAAAACAUUCUUUUCUUUUUGAACUUUCUUAAACUCCAGUCUUGGCCUUUCUUCUGGCUCUUCUUCUGAUCCUUUUGUUCUUGAGUUAAUUAUAUAAAAAAUGAAAAAAAAGCCCAGAUUCUCUUUCAGUCUUUCUUAAUCUUAAUCUAAUGAGUAUUAGAACAAAUUAUUGUUGAUCACCAUCAGAUGUACCAGAUUCUUAGAAAGUAAAAUAUAAGGUUAAUUAAAUAUCACAAAAAUGAUUUAAUAAGAUAGCUUUUACAUUUUAAAUAUAUAAUAUAAUUUAAUUAUAUCACUAGUUAAAAUGUGAUAUUUUCGAAAUAAAUAAUAUUUUGAUUAUUAUGCUUUUAAUAAUAAUAAAAAAAAGAGCUCAACGAUUCCUCCAUUUCUUUAAGCGUCUUCAGAGAAACUUAUAAAUAUAAUAAAUUUUCUUGAUGUUAAUAAAAUAAUUAUAAGAUUUUCUAUUUUUUCUUUCUUCAUUUCUAUAUUACAAUACAUUUGUAAACUAAUUAAAUAUCUGAUGAAAAGUAAAGGUACAAUUAAUAAAAGAAUAAUUAAUGUUGACCGUGAAAAAGAAACAAAGAGAAUAUAUAUGAGUAGGUGUAAAACAUUUUCUCUAUUAAAAGACCGAAGAAAUUAAUGUUUUUAUGCUUAUUUUUUUGUAUUAUACUAUAAAAAAUAAUCUAUGUCUUGUUAAAUUAAUGAAAUUACAUAAUUUUUACCAUGAAAAAUAAAAUUAUAAUUAAUGAAAACUAAUUAAUGUUAUCUUCUAAUUGAUGAAAGAGCAAUUAAUGUGGCCCUCCCAAGGGAUUAUCUUACCUGGCCAAGAAUUUGUGAAAAGUGAAGAAAGAACCUUUUUCCACUUUAACUUCAAAUAUUUUGAUCAAAAUAUUUUUUACAAUUUUCCAAAAUCUCUUUUCUGAAAUAUAUUUUUUAGAUUUUUUUUAAAUAUGUAUUUUUUAUUAUGGAAUUGCGUCAAUUGUUUUCGAAUGGGAUUGAGGCUGAGAACGAUUCAAGUUGCUCUUUUAUCUGUUCGGUUGGUUGGUCGAUCAAGUCUUUUCUCCUUCCUCUCAAAGCGAUCUUCUUAGUCUCCUCUUUUAACUCUACCUCUCUGUCUUCACAAGUCCAGACUCGGAUAGUACUUGCAAAAGGUACUCCGACGCUCAAGUUAGAAUUGAGUAUUCGACACUCGGUAUUCUGAGCACGGUAUAUGAUGUACCUGAUUCUUGGAUUUUGUGUCUAUUUAUAUGGUUAUUAUGAGCAUUUUCUCAUUAGAUCAGAUUAUAAAGUAAAAUCAUGUUUAAGGAUAUAUUACCUAAUAUUUAACUGUUGAUUAACCUCAUUAAUUAUGCUUAAAUGUGAUGAGGUCGACUUAUCGAGACAUAAUAUUCGUUGUAGUACCCUACCGUACAUCAAAAGAUAAAAUACAAUUAAAUCAUUGUGUGAUGAAUAUAUUUGUUUAUGAUACUAGACUCACAACCCCCGUUAGAAGGAUAUCUAGGCCAACUUGAUUAAAUGACUACAUUUGAAGAAUCUCUUUCUUUUGUCUUUUGUGGGAUUAGAUUCCUAGGAUUUUAUGUUAUGUCUUUUUCAGUUUUAUUAGGACAAAUGACUUUUUAAAGGUAUUAUAUGUCACACUAGACUAGGAGACAGAGUAUGUUAUUGGUUCUGUUACUUUUUAUCCUAAAAGUUGUUUUUUUUUUGUUUCUGUCAUAUCUCUUUCCCAAGCUCUUUAUUUCCUAGUUUUCUUUACGUUCUUCCUCAUCCCCGCUCCAUCACUGUAUCACACAAGGACUACAAUCUUAUUAAGGUGAAGGAUAUCGUGAGGGAAAUAGCUUUGAAACCGUUAGAUUGCUUCCAUUUUAAAUCAAUGGUGGAUAAAUUUCAGUUCUUUAUAUAUUUUUAUUUCCUUCUUCUUCUUCUUUUCCCAUGGGCAAGUUUGAAAGAAAUAUCUGACACAAGAAAGCAUAGUCAUUGUCUCUUAUUCAUAUUCAGUCUCUGGACAAGAUUCUCUCUUACACUUGAUUCAAGCUACGGACUUAAUAACCUUAUCAGCUUCAAAAAGCUCCAUGAACCUUAAAUCGAAGGCUUCAUGCUCAGUGAGACUCAACCGUUUUCCCUCCUCACCGUUGUGUGCAUAAAACCUCCCAAUAUCAAGACAAGUUGGUGUCCCAGUGAUGCAGAACACAAACUUGUACGCAAACGGAUGAUAUUUCUCAAUAUGAAAUUUGCCAGCAUAAGUUUGUUGCCCGGGAUGGCCUUCGGCACCACCAACUCCCACACAUGCCUUCUGGAUUGCUUCGUCCAUAAACACCAACCACUUGGAGGAUUCUGAACACUCUGGCUUCUCCACGAACUCGAUUUCCAGUUCGGUACCUACACUCAUGUUUCCAAAAAAUUAAAUCAGUAACCUAUGCAACACACUCACACUUAAACACGUGUAAUCUUAAAUUGAUAAGGUGUUGAUGAGUACCAGUGAAGAUGAUUCCAGAGCUGUCUCCAGGUAUGGUGAAUUUCACAGGAAUGCCGCGGAAGUUUGCAAAGGGAUGUUGCAAGACAGUUAGAGCGCAGGGUGAGUUCCCAGAUUGACCAAGUUUCAAUCCACCAGCACGAGGGCCACGGAUUGAUGGUAUGAUGUAGUAUGUGAGACCUGGGCUAAUGGGGUUCCCACUUAUGUCCACAACUUGCUCAACAUCUGAGAAAGCUAAGGGAAGGUUGGUGAGGAAAGCAAGGAGAGGGAGGAGGAAGGAGAGGGCAAGAACUGCGUUGGGUUUCAUGGUUGAUUUAGUGGAUGAUGGUGCUGUUGCAGAUGUUCUGCU
rnacentral:lncRNA from 1 species